rnacentral:lncRNA from 1 species
GUAAUGGGGACUGAGGAGGUAACUGCGUAGGGGGGGAGGUUCGAUUUUCAUGGUGUAGGAGAAAACGUUGAGUGUCUAUGAGCAAAUUUUCACUGUUAUUUUCAGGGCUUGUUUACUAAGUAAACAAGAAGAGGGCCUGGGAGGAGAGUCUGAUGAGCAAGGGGAAGGUAGCCAAGGAUGGAGUGAAAUACAAGAGACCACCAAGUUUUAGAUGAUCAUGCAACAAAGCUUCCAGCCAGUUCCAGGUGAAGACACCACCCCUGACCAUCAAGAAGCUACCCCGCCUCCACUAGACAGAGCAGGGAGAGAGUUCCGUCAUCCUUAAUAGGUAGAGACUAUGCCGCAAGCCAGCAUGAAGCAGUUACAGAAAAAAGACGAUUGGUCCCUCUGCCUCCCAUGAAGAUUUAUGGGGAUCACAUCUCUUACAGAGGAAAUGAGGCAGGAAAAUAGGGUCUGGAGGCAGGGAAUAUAAGGCAGAUUCACGCUUCAGCUAUGACAGGAAAUAUCCUCUCCAUAGGGCAGAUGCAGAGUAAAUGACUAUGUAACUUUACUUCACCCUCUUCAUUUACACAGGGCAUACACCAGCUAACCAGUGGAAUCCUCUAGAGGGUAUUUAAACUCCCAAAAAUUCUGUAACAGGGCCCCGGUCCCACAUUGUGGAGUGUACUUUCAUUGUCAAUAAAAUUUCUUCAUUCUUUC